UAAAGUAUAGCUUAGUGAUAGAGUGCUUGACUAGCAUAUGCAAGGUCCUGGGUUUGAUUCCUAGUGCUAUAA
rnacentral:tRNA from 1 species